rnacentral:rRNA from 1 species
GACGAACGCUGGCGGCGUGCUUAACACAUGCAAGUCGAGCGGUAAGGCCCUUUCGGGGUACGACGAGCGGCGAACGGGUGGAGUAACACGUGGGUGACCUGCCCUCAGCUCUGGGAUAAGCCUGGGAAGCCGGGUCUAAUACUGGAUAUGACUCCAUGACGCAUGUUGUGGGGUGGAAAGCCUUGUGCGGCUGAGGAUGGGCCCGCGGCCUAUCAGCUUGUUGGUGGGGUGAUGGCCUACCAAGGCGA